GCUUGUCCAUGCGAUCGUGCCUGGAGCACUCUGGUUUCCAGGUGACAGACACGAUUCACGGUAUUUUUGAUAAAGCUGUGGAAUGGAAAGAGGUCCUGUAAUAAAGAGGGAUCCGAACAAGCUCAGAAAGAAAAUGAAUUUCAAGGGGCCGAGGCCAUGGUUCUGGAGAGCGUUAUGUUUGCCAUUCUCGCAGAGAGGUCACUUGGGCCAAAACUCUAUGGCAUCUUUCCCCAAGGCCGACUGGAGCAGUUCAUCCCGAGCCGGCGAUUAGAUACAGAAGAAUUAAGUUUGCCAGAUAUUUCUGCAGAAAUCGCUGAGAAAAUGGCUACGUUUCAUGGUAUGAAAAUGCCAUUCAAUAAGGAACCAAAAUGGCUUUUUGGCACAAUGGAAAAGUAUCUAAAGGAAGUGCUGAGAAUUAAAUUUACUGAGGAAUCCAGAAUUAAAAAGCUCCACAAAUUGCUCAGUUACAAUCUGCCCUUGGAACUGGAAAACCUGAGAUCAUUGCUUGAAUCUACUCCAUCUCCAGUUGUAUUUUGUCAUAAUGACUGUCAAGAAGGUAAUAUCUUGUUG
rnacentral:sRNA from 1 species